rnacentral:rRNA from 1 species
GCCUGACGCAGCGACGCCGCGUGGAGGAUGAAGGCCUUCGGGUUGUAAACUCCUUUUCUUAGGGAAGAUGAUGAUGGUACCUGAGGAAUAAGCCACGGCUAACUCUGUGCCAGCAGCCGCGGUAA